GCACCUGAUCUUUCCCAUUCCUUACUGCUCAGUGUGGGCCUGGAAACACAUGCUUAUGGAAAAGCGGAGUAAAUCCAGACUGAUGUGUCCUCUUUCAUGAGUACUUGUCUCUACAGUUCUGUCCUACUG